ACAUACGACCACAGCCGUUAGUAGAACUCACGAUCCCGUCCGAUCCCGUACGAUAACCUAGCGAGCGCUGGAUUAGUAGUUGGGUCGGUGACGACCAGCGAAUACCCGGUGUUGUAUGUU
rfam:Metarhizium acridum CQMa 102 unplaced genomic scaffold Scf_069, whole genome shotgun sequence.